rnacentral:rRNA from 1 species
UACGUAGGGGGCUAGCGUUGUCCGGAAUCAUUGGGCGUAAAGAGCGUGUAGGCGGUCCGGUAAGUCCGUUGUGAAAGUCAGGGGCUCAACCCUUGAAUGCCGGCGGAUACUGUCGGGCUAGAGUCCGGAAGAGGCGAGUGGAAUUCCUGGUGUAGCGGUGAAAUGCGCAGAUAUCAGGAAGAACACCCGUGGCGAAAGCGGCUCUCUGGAACGGUACUGACGCUGAGACGCGAAAGCGUGGGGAGCGAACAGG